GCGUCAGUAGUGUAACGGAUACAGCACAUACUCCCGUAAAGCGAGGUGCAGGUUCUAGUCCCGCCUGGCGCG